AGCGAACGCUGGCGGCAUGCUUAACACAUGCAAGUCGAACGGGCAUCUUCGGAUGUCAGUGGCAUACGGGUGAGUAACACGUGGGAACUUACCCUUCGGUUCGGAAUAACUCAGGGAAACUUGAGCUAAUACCGGAUACGCCCUUUUGGGGAAAUGUUUACUGCCGAAUGAUCGGCUCGCGUCUGAUUAGCUUGUUGUUGGGGUAACGGCCUACCAAGGCGACGAUCAGUAGCUGGUCUGAGAGGAUGAUCAGCCACACUGGUACUGAGACACGGUCCAGACUCCUACGGGAGGGGGCAGUGGGGAAUAUUGGACAAUGGGGGCAAGGCUGAUCGAGCCAUGACGCGUGAGUGAUGAAGGCAUUAGGGUUGUAAAGCUCUUUUGUCCGGGACGAUAAUGACGGUACCGGAAGAAUAAGCCCCGGCUAACUUCGUG
rnacentral:rRNA from 1 species